CACAAUUUAUAUGGCUGAUUUCAUAAACGACCAUGUUUCACAUUACAUAAUGUUCUCACAGUUUACAAGUAAUUUUUUUUUUCAUCUUUAGGGCAUAGGGCUUUCACGUUGGUAUGCUUGGAGGGGCAAAGAGUAAAAUACUGGAGGGGAAUCUGAUGUAAGGGGCUAUGCACUUUCCUGGUACAAACCACACACCUCCUCCCCUGCGCCCACAGUUUAUGUUGAAUGGCCGGUCCAGGCAGCCUGUGAGACCCUUGGAUAUCAGGAGCUUCGACUGCCUAAGGAAUGCGUGUUGUUCCCUACCAGUUUGGCUCAGUGGAUAGAGCGUCG